CCUACGGGAGGCAGCAGUGGGGAAUAUUGGGCAAUGGGCGCAAGCCUGACCCAGCAACGCCGCGUGAAGGAAGAAGGCUUUCGGGUUGUAAACUUCUUUUGACGGGGAAGAGCAGAAGACGGUACCUGUCGAAUAAGCAACGGCUAACUACAUGCAAGCAGCCGCGGUAAUACGUAGGUGGCAAGCGUUGUCCGGAUUUACUGGGUGGAAAGGGCGUGUAGCCGGGCUGACAAGUCAGAUGUGAAAUCCGGGGGCUCAACCCCCGAACUGCAUUUGAAACUGUUGGUCUUGAGUAUCGGAGAGGCAGGCGGAAUUCCUAGUGUAGCGGUGAAAUGCGUAGAUAUUAGGAGGAACACCAGUGGCGAAGGCGGCCUGCUGGACGACAACUGACGGUGAGGCGCGAAAGCGUGGGGAGCAAACAGGAUUAGAUACCCUUGUAGUC
rnacentral:rRNA from 1 species